rnacentral:misc_RNA from 1 species
UAGUACAACGGAGGCACCUGGGCUGUCGCUGACCUUAAAGGACGUGCACGCCCGGAGUGCUCUCUCACAUCCAUCUCACCCCUUUGUGCAUCACCGCGUGGGGCCCUCUCCUUUGGCUUGUUCCGGGGAGGGGGUUUCACGUUUUUACACGAACAACCCAUUAAUGCAUGUGUAGAAUGUCUUACUUAUUUUAAAUA